UCCGUUAAUCUCUUCUCCCCAUCUCUCAGUAUCUUUUAUCUCUCAACAUAUCCUGAAGCGUCUGUUAAUUUUUCUCUUCUGCAGCAACUAUUUUCGGGUCUCACUCCAAAACCAGAUAUAUCUAAACAUAAGAUAUCAAGGUUAGCACCAAUGCAUCAUUGCGUAAACAGCAGCCUUGUCCAAAGAGAGUUCGACCUAAAGUUCCACAGCAAGGUCCUCUACCACCUAAAGCUACAGGUCUGUCUUCAACAGCUCAACAGCCAGGUCCUCUACCACCUGGAGCUAAUGGUAGGUCUUCAGCUUUUCAACAGCAAGGUCUCUUACCACCUGGAGGUACAAGUCAGUCUUCAACUGCUCAGUCUUCAGCUGGUGCUAACAGUUCUAACAGUCGCACACUCGAGGCUUUAAUUAAUUCGCCGGCACGGCGAGACCAGCCACGACUCCAUCCUCAAAAGCUCGAUGGAGCUUUAUGGUUCAAAGUUGACUCGUCAGUUUGUAAGUACAUCUGAACAACAUGGCAAAACAAUUUUAUGGGCCUUUGGAUGGAAUAUUGGAAUGGUCCCGGAAGAGAAGACUGAUAAAUGCAAAAUUAUUAUUGGGACAAAGUCCACCAUGAUCUGGUAUACUCGUUAUGGUGGAAAGAGUGUAUGGAUUCAAUAGGUGGUCGAAUCAGCAAGAAAAAGAGAGCUGGAAAAAAACCAAAGUAUGUAAGUGAGAUCCAACGGACUGAAAUGUUAAAGCUGUGGGAAACUGAGUAUAUGAUUGAACUUUGCAAGACCAACUCUGAGAAUCGCAUGUCAAGAUCUGAUGGCUUAGGAGAGCAUAAGCAUUGUGCUGGUUCUGUAGCAUUUGCUCGUGUUAGGUAUAAUAUGAUGAUCGAGGCUGGAACAGAUAAACCACCUGCUUACAUUGACCUUGUGCACAAGACACACACAUGCAAAGAUGGGACAUUUGUCGACAAACGCGUGGAAUCUAUUAUAGCUAAUGUUGAGUUAAUACACAAAUAUCAGCUUCUGAUGGGUCUCCUAAUAGCCAAACAACAUCAUUUACCGCUGUUCCUUCUUGCCUCCAGCUAAACAAAGCAUAUCUCAAGUUUCACCAGUGGCAGAGCUAUUUGAUGGCGAGGGGAAUCAGUUGACCCCGGUGAAAUUUAUAAUUUUUUUUAUAGAUGUAUUUUUGAUUAUAUUUCAUGAGUUAUCUGAACUCAAGCGUGUAUAUUGAUCCUCGUGAAUUUAAUAUUUAUGUGAUUAUAUUAAUAUUGACCCCUAUAAAAAAUUAUUUUAG